CUGUCUUGCUGCAGUUCAUCCCUGGAAGUUUCCGUGGUUCGAUGAAUGGAAGAAAGAUUCAGUGCAUUUUCACUGCUGCAGGUCUCAGCAACAAUGCCCGUGCUGCAACCACAGACAAUUUUGUCUUCUUUUUAACAGGAAGCGUCUCAAAUGGUUCUCUGGAUUCUCCAGUCACUAGACUGGCCACAAAUGGGUCAGUGGACUUAAGCAACCCUAACAGCACAGAUGUUUCAGUAAUAACACCCAGUAUAGAUGCCACCACUACAGCCCCAAACACCACUGCAUCUACUGCCACUGCAGCAUUAAACACCACUGCAUCUACUGCGUCUGGAGUAUCUACAGCUAAUAAUGGUACAGCAAAUGUCACCAAAGACAACUGUAAGAAGGACAGGGCAUGUUUCUCCACUCCAGCCAACUGUGAUCCAUCCAGCUCAAAUAGCUGCUUUUUUGCCUCCACAAGAGGGGUGAACGGAGACUCCAACAAUCUCACUUUUGAGCUCAGCGGGGAUCCAAAUGGUUACAUUGCAGUUGGCCUGUCUCGAGACAAGAAGGAGGGUGAUAAUGACACCGUCUAUUCUUGUGCCAACGACAAUGGUGUGGCGAAGUUCAUCCGUGCCACACUGAAUAAUACCAUUCUGACUCCGGAUAAUACUGUAAGACUCCCUUUUACAGAGCAUUUUCUUUAUUGCCAAGCUAUGCACAAAAGAUUAUUGACUAUACAUUAUGUGGUAAUGAACAGCAAUGGGGACGGCUUUAAAGAACAAAGCAUUCUGAGACAAC
rnacentral:lncRNA from 1 species